rnacentral:sRNA from 1 species
ACAUGUGUAUAUGUGUGUAUGUGUCUGAGUGUGUGCACGUGUGUGUAUAGGAUAGAAGCAGCAAGGUGACUUCACAAGACAAAUCAGGGCUGGGGAGUGGGUGCACAUCCCUGCCUCCAAUUCUGACUUGACAGAUCUUAUACCCAACCUUGCAUUUGGUAUAACCACCCACUCGUUAUCUCAGCAUGAGAGACAGGAAACUGGAUCACUUACUCUCAAGCUUAAAGCAAUUGUGACAGUUCUCACCAUCAUGCUCAAUGUUGGGUUUUUUUUUCCCCAAUGUAAAGAAAAUAGGUGAGGGAAAAAUGAGUCGAUCCAAUUGCUUAGCGAUGUUCAGACAAAGCAACUGCCAUCCGUGGCCGUGUCCACAGACUAUGGAAGGUCAGGACAAGAGGCAUAGUCAGGGUGCCUGUGUGAGUUGCAUCUCCUGGGCUGGGGUUGUGCCUCUCCCCUCCGGUGAGCUCCCAGCCCCCACCCUGCACUCCUCAGUCACUGCAGUGCUUGCUGGCUGGGGAGGCACCUCCCAGAUCCGCAGGAACAAUGGGCUGGGGAGGGGGCAGGUGCGGCUAGGAGACCCACAGAAGAGGGAACUGCAACCAACCCAUACCAGGACAGAGAAAACAAUUACCAGUGCCAGCCCGCUGCGCUGCUGCUGGCCUCAGUUUCCCUGCUUUGGGUCUCUGCAGAGCACAGAGCUCUCCCCCACCCCACCCCACGACGGAUUUCGCCUUAAGUCCCGGCAUUUUACUGUCAUCCUUGCACAGCCUCUUGCUUCGAGCUCCUGGGAAACCGGCUCGAGCCUCUAUUCUAGCCAAGGCCCUGUAGGUCAGGGACACGCGCAGGGCCUCCCGCAAUCAACUUUCCCCACUUGAGAUGCACAGGAAGAAGACUGGAAUCCUGACCAGCCCAUCCAUCCCCUGUGCGGGCGAAGCCUUGAUUUACAACUCUGGCUGGGAAAGCAUCUCAUCCUCUUCCCGGAUCCCCGGGCGCUCCCUCCCUCACCAUCUGAGCGGCAACCGUGCUCCAGAAGAGCCGCUCUACCAUAAAUGCUGCCUACAGGACUACAAAGAAGCUCCUGACCCAAGGAGGUACUUGUCGCAGACUGUUGCCCUUCCAUAUAUGGGAUGCGUCCAUGCGUCCCUGGCCCAUUAAAAUAGGGCAUUAAUAAUUCAAAA